CAAAAUUAAGUCCUCCUCUUAUAAUUUCACGACUCAAUCUCAGUCUCUCUCUCCCUUUGCCGUCACUCUCUCUCUCUCCCUUUCUGGUUUGGUUGUUCCCCCUUGCCGUCACACUCUCUCUCUCCCUUCCUGGUUUGGCACCGCCAUUGGCUCUCAAUCUCUCAUCCUCUUUCAGCUGCGGCGAGGGCUUGAACGGCGCUGGCGAGGGUCGACUAUAUCUGUAUUGAAGAGGUCGAACAGGAAUAUUCACUCUUUGUUUGGGCAUUAAAGAUCUACCCCUAUAUCCUUUCUCCUUUAGUGGUCUCGGCUAUCUCUAGUUGUAUCUAUUACAUAGCCAUCCACUCCAUCAUUGGCGGAAUGCCUCAAUUUAAGACCCAACUAAAUGGAACUAAAUAAUGGAGCAAUAUAUAGUAGGCAUAAUUCAACAUGUUUUUUUGCACUCUUCAAGGUUCUUGGUAAGACAUCUUAGUUGCCUAUUAUGUUAGAGUGUGUUUACUCUUCUUAGUGGCUCUUUAGUUUUCUGUUAUGGUUGUUAUAAGUAGUUAAACUACUUUCUCAAUUGAUCUCUUGUAUAAAUACUCUCUUGUACAAAUUACUUGGUCAACAAUAAUACUUCUUCUUUCCAUAAA